GCAGAAUGCUUGGAAUUGCUGGUUUUCUCCUCAGCCCAAGUCAGUGCCGAAAGACCAACUUAAGGCCACCAAGGAAGGCGAAUCCUGCUGGAGAACCCUCGGGCCUAAGGACAAGGUCCUGCCUUCUGCCUGCACAUUUGCUCGAAUUCCAGGAGCCCUAACGCUGGGGCGAACAGAAAGGAGGCCUGACUCGCCUUCGCUGGAAGCUCCAUCCGAAAGCUUGCACAGUGGGGACGCGCUGCGUGGGCGAGUGGCACGGCGGCAUAGAACUGCUCAAGACAGCCGCCCUCUGCUCACGGCCAGAGUCUCCCCCAUUUUGCUUCUUUUCUCUGCGGUCUCCGUGGUUCUCUUGUCACUACAGCCAGAAGUUGAGUUACAGGAAGAUUUGCCAGAGAUUUAUCGCCUGGCCCCAAACUUGGAGAGCCUCGUUGUCAUAAACAGCCGUCUAUUGUCUAGACUUUUAUCUCCGGAACACCCAUAAGAGGACCACAAACUAGGAAGCAUGAGCAAUCCAUCUGAAGAUGACUGGGCUGGCUCCUCGCUGCUG